UUCACCUGUUCAGAUGGCGAAAGCUUUUUCUACUAAUAUUUGUGGAGAAGACACUUAAGAUUUGUAUUUGCCCACCAUGGCUGUCAGCUCUGCCCCGUGAUGUUCAGUCCUUUCCCACAAGGUCAGAGAUAGAGCUGGGCUGUGAGUUUGCACCUGCAUAUUCCUACAGCUUCUCAGAGACCUAUGGGCAAUGGCUGAGAAGAUAGGCCAUGCAGGAAACACAC
rnacentral:snoRNA from 14 species